rnacentral:rRNA from 1 species
GGGGGGGGGGGGGGGGGGGGGGGGGGGGGGGGGGGGGGGGGGGGGGGGGGGGGGGGGGGGGCGCGGGGGGGAGGGGGGGGCGGGGGAGGGACACGGGGAUGGGCUACCGGUAGGACUGGGAGGACUGGGGGGCACCGGAGCUAAUGCCGGAGAAUAGAUUGAACCGCAUGGGUCAGUAGUGAAAGACGGGUUUGCUGGCACGUAUAGAUGGAUCCGCGCCGCAUUAGCUAGUUGGUAAGGUAACGGCUUACCAAGGCAACGAUGCGUAGCCGACCCGAGAGGGUGAUAGGCCACACUGGAACUGAGACACGGUCCAGACUCCUACGGGAGGCAGCAGUAGGGAAUCUUCCGCAAUGGGCGAAAGCCUGACGGAGCAACGCCGCGUGAGUGAUGAAGGUCUUCGGAUCGUAAAACUCUGUUAUUAGGGAAGAACAAAUGUGUAAGUAACUAUGCACGUCUUGACGGUACCUAAUCAGAAAGCCACGGCUAACUACGUG